GUUAUCAGGCUUAUCAGUAGGCUAAACUCUACCCCAUACACUUACAAUCAAAGUAGAUGCUAAUUCUCAGAAGAAUUUGAAUCAGGAAGCUUGUUAAAUCAAUACGGCAUGCUUAUAAUGUAAUUACAGUAGAUUGUAAUAAGAGAUGGAUACGGCAUCAAAAAGGCUUACAGAAGUGGCUUGAUUUAUCAAUUAAAUUAAAUUAAGAAAAAUUGUUUUAUGUAA